GACGAACGCUGGCGGCGUGCUUAACACAUGCAAGUCGAACGGAAAGGCCCCUUUGGGGGUCCUCGAGUGGCGAACGGGUGAGUAACACGUGAGUAACCUGCCCUUGACUUCGGGAUAACUUCAGGAACCUGGGGCUAAUACCGGAUAGGAAUCCUUGCUGCAUGGUGGGGGUUGGAAAGCUUCGGCGGUUUUGGAUGGACUCGCGGCUUAUCAGCUUGUUUGUGGGGUAGUGGCUUACCAAGGCUUUGACGGGUAGCCGGCCUGAGAGGGUGACCGGCCACAUUGGGACUGAGAUACGGCCCAGACGCCUACGGGAGGCAGCAGUGGGGAAUAUUGCACAAUGGGCGGAAGCCUGAUGCAGCAACGCCGCGUGCGGGAUGACGGCCUUCGGGUUGUAAACCGCUUUCAGCAGGGGCGAAGCUUGUGGUGACGGUACCUGCAGAAGAAGCACCGGCUAACUACGUG
rnacentral:rRNA from 1 species